CCCAGGAUGCCCCGGAUUGGGCCCUACCAGCAGGGCAGUUAAAGGGUCUUUUCUUGUUGAUAGGAACGGCCAGUGCCUGGACCCCACCCUCCCCCACUCCCUUUUAAUUCAAUGGCUACGUGGGGGCUUCUUUGAUGGAGGCUUUGAAGUCGGUGGCUUUGAGAUUACUCUUCCUCUGUGACCUUGACCACCAGCCAUGAGCAUCAUGGGCAGACUUUCAAGCUCCAUUUAUAAGUGAGAAAAAUGGACUUCAACUAAAAACUUGUCCAAGACCCAGCAAGUCAAAUACAGGAGCCAGGCCACCAUGAUAACUCCAUGAUGAUGUACUGUCUGGCUGCAUACCUUGUUCCAGACUCUUUCCCUGCACACUUGGAUCUGAGCGCCCUUUCCAGUGUAAGUGUGGAAAGGUACUGACUCUCCAA